CGUAUGGUGAGGGCUCCGUGUGUGGCUGUGUGAUGUAUGUGUGCAUAUGUGAUGAUUCGUGAGACGGCAUAAAGUGUUUUGUUUGGAAGAAGGUUUCGUGCUGAAAUUUAAAAUUAGUGCGAUUCCCUGUGCAAUAUACCGGUUUUGUGGCAAUUACAGUGUUUAUUUAGUUCAUUUUACUGCAGUGCAAGUUUUUUGCAAGAUAUAUCCGCGAUAAGCCGAACGUAUAAAGAAGGAAGAAAGCAGUGAGACAACAGGGUGACAGCAAAAUGCAAUAGCUGGAUAAACCAGAUAAUUAUAAGAAAUUAUCAUUUAAAACAGUGGAAGAUGUUCGGAACAGGAAUUGUUAAAAGAUUAAUUAGUUAUGCUUUAUCGUCCUAAUGUUUCAGAUUCUUCUACAGCAGAUAUUUGAUGGCAAAAAGCGAGUGAAAAAAGAAUGCAACUAUGGACGGACGGCAUAAACCAACUCGAUUAAACUACUAUACAUACCCGUCGUUAUUGUUGUGCCAACAAUUAUAAGGGAGAUUAUACUGUGAAGCGUAUGCUGCACAAAAUUGUCCCGGUCUGCCAACCAUUUCCUCGCGCCCUUCUCAUUCGAUUGCUCAUGAUCAGACUGUGCAAUUUUAAAAUGCAUACAUAACGGAAUGCAGCUUACUUUUUGACAACGAUUUUUUCCAAGUUUCAUAAGACGUUCAAGUGCUAUCGCUAUGAGCUGAAAUUUUAAUAUAAUAGACAUAUGAGGAAAGGGUCAAAACAGUAGCUAGAUAGGAUAACAUACACUACGAAAAUCAUGCCCAGCAUCGUGCUAUCUAUCAACCAAACACAUCAUUAAUAGACAUGCUCAUUAUAGACUCGCAGGACGACUACAUUUGUCCCGUCGAUUACAAGCAGAUAGGAUAAUGUAGAAAAUAGGAUAGGAUAUUUAGUCAAAUGAGAUCAAAGCUAUAUGUUUAAUUCAGAGAAGGUAUUGUAACAUAAUGGUACAUGAAAGAUUGAAAAAGGGUAAGGCGGCAAAUACACGACGCGCGUUUCCGCGCCCGCGGAAACGCGUAUAAAAUCCAGCCAUAGGAAUUAAAUGUCAUUCGAAUGUGCUACAACGGAAACGCAGAGAUGCUCAUUCUGAAUAUCUCUGCGGAACUGUUAUGCACGUUUGAACGCGCCCGCGGAAACGCAUAUCGUGUAUUUGCGGCCUAAUAUAUAUUAAACUAAAUCAAGCUAUUUAUUAUACUAAUAUUUAGGGAUAGUAUAGCUGGAGUGCAAGUUCAAGUAUAGCACUCAACAGGAAGACUGAAGCCGAUAGCUACAAUCAUACACGUUACCCGGCCCUCUAGUACUAAUCUAACACGACAUCCAACAUAAACAAAUAUUCCAUUCAUUCAACAGGUUCGAGUCUUGUUUGUUCGAGAUGUCUAGCGGAGCACCUCCAUAUAACUCUAUACGUUUCUUCGAGUUGAAUGUCUGGUUCGAUUGGUGCCAAAGGGUCGGGUUUAACAAAACAUAAUUUUACGGUUAGUAUUAUACACGCAAAGAACACAGAUUAAGCGUAUU